CCUACGGGAGGAGCAGUGGGGAAUAUUGGGCAAUGGAGGAAACUCUGACCCAGCGACGCCGCGUGCGGGAUGAAGGCCUUCGGGUUGUAAACCGCUUUCAGCAGGGAAUAAGCGCAAGUGAAGGUACCUGCAGAAGAAGCACCGGCUAACUAUGUGCCAGCAGCCGCGGUAAUACAUAGGGUGCAAGCGUUGUCCGGAAUUAUUGGGCGUAAAGAGCUCGUAGGUGGUUUGUUACGUCGGUUGUGAAAUUCAGGGGCGUCAACCCCUGACUUGCAGCCGAUACGGGCAAGCUAGAGUUUGGUAGGGGAGACUGGAAUUCCUGGUGUAGCGGUGGAAUGCGCAGAUAUCAGGAGGAACACCGAUGGCGAAGGCAGGUCUCUGGGCCAAUACUGACACUGAGGAGCGAAAGCGUGGGGAGCGAACAGGAUUAGAUACCCUGGUAGUCCACGCCGUAAACGGUGGGCGCUAGUUGUGCGAACCUUCCACGGUUUGUGCGACGCAGCUAACGCAUUAAGCGCCCCGCCUGGGGAGUACGAUCGCAAGNUUAAAACCUCAAGGAAUUGACGG
rnacentral:rRNA from 1 species